rnacentral:rRNA from 1 species
AGUACGAGAGGACCGUGUUGGACAGACCGCUGGUUUACCGGUUGUUCCGCCAGGGGCACCGCCGGGUAGCUAAGUCUGGGCAGGGAUAAGUGCUGAAAGCAUCUAAGCACGAAGCCUACCUCAAGAUUAGAUCUCUAUAUAAGGGUGGUUGCAGACGACGACCUUGAUAGGCUGCAGGUGUAAAGGCGGUAACGUCAAAGCCGAGCAGUACUAAUAACCCGAAAACUUUCUUAC